AUUCCCUACGGGGUGCACCAGGCGCGAAAACUUUACAGUGUACGAAAGUGCGAUAAGGGAAUCCCGAGUGCUUAUGCUUUUACGCAUAAGCUUUUGCCAAGAGUAAAUAUCUUGGAGAAUAAGUGAUGGGCAAGACCGGUGCCAGCAGCCGCGGUAAACUCCCUACGGGGUGCAGCAGCCGCGGUAAAAUC
rnacentral:rRNA from 1 species